rnacentral:rRNA from 1 species
UACGUAGGGCGCAAGCGUUGUCCGGAAUUAUUGGGCGUAAAGAGCUCGUAGGCGGCUUGUCACGUCGGGUGUGAAAGCCCGGGGCUUAACCCCGGGUCUGCAUUCGAUACGGGCUAGCUAGAGUGUGGUAGGGGAGAUCGGAAUUCCUGGUGUAGCGGUGAAAUGCGCAGAUAUCAGGAGGAACACCGGUGGCGAAGGCGGGACUCUGGGCCGAUACUGACGCUGAGGAGCGAAAGCGUGGGGAGCAAACAGG